AAUUCUUCAUAAAUGACUGAGUAAAACUAAAAUAAAUGAAGAAUUUGAGGCAUCUGUCAUCACAGACUCUUCUUUAGGUUUCAAUACUAACUUUGGGAAAUAACAAACAUUUUGGAUGGUUUGGUAGGGACAUACUGAUUGGAUUCAGUAACUUACCUAGUCCUAAUGACAGCUCUUCAUAAUCUUGAACUCUGGUACUUUGACGCCCUCUUUUCUUUAUUUAAAAUUCCUAUGGAUACACUCUGACUUAUCAAUGUAC
rnacentral:lncRNA from 1 species